rnacentral:rRNA from 1 species
CCUACGGGAGGCAGCAGUGGGGAAUAUUGCACAAUGGGGGAAACCCUGAUGCAGCGACGCCGCGUGAGUGAAGAAGUAAUUCGUUAUGUAAAGCUCUAUCAGCAGGGAAGAAAAUGACGGUACCUGAGUAAGAAGCCCCGGCUAACUACGUGCCAGCAGCCGCGGUAAUACGUAGGGGGCAAGCGUUAUCCGGAUUUACUGGGUGGAAAGGGAGCGUAGACGGCAGUGCAAGUCUGGAGUGAAAGGCGGGGGCUCAACCCCCGGACUGCUUUGGAAACUGUACGGCUGGAGUGCAGGAGAGGUAAGUGGAAUGCCUAGUGUAGCGGUGAAAUGCGUAGAUAUUAGGAGGAACACCAGUGGCGAAGGCGGCUUACUGGACUGUAACUGACGUUGAGGCUCGAAAGCGUGGGGAGCAAACAGGAUUAGAUACCCCAGUAGUC